rnacentral:rRNA from 1 species
UACGUAGGGUGCAAGCGUUGUCCGGAAUUAUUGGGCGUAAAGAGCUCGUAGGCGGUCUGUCGCGUCGGCUGUGAAAUCCCGAGGCUCAACCUCGGGUCUGCAGUCGAUACGGGCAAACUAGAGUAUUGCAGGGGAGACUGGAAUUCCUGGUGUAGCGGUGAAAUGCGCAGAUAUCAGGAGGAACACCGGUGGCGAAGGCGGGUCUCUGGGCAUUACCUGACGCUGAGGAGCGAAAGUGUGGGGAGCGAACAGG